rnacentral:rRNA from 1 species
AGUGAACGCUGGCGGCAGGCCUAACACAUGCAAGUCGAGCGGCAGCGCGUCCGACCACCCUCGGGUGGUCGGAUGGCGGCGAGCGGCGGACGGGUGAGGAAUGCAUCGGAAUCUGCCUCGUUGUGGGGGAUAACGUAGGGAAACUUACGCUAAUACCGCAUACGACCUACGGGUGAAAGUGGGGACCUUCGGGCCUCACGCGAUGAGAUGAGCCGAUGUCAGAUUAGCUAGUUGGUGGGGUAAAGGCUCACCAAGGCGACGAUCUGUAGCGGGUCUGAGAGGAUGAUCCGCCACACUGGGACUGAGACACGGCCCAGACUCCUACGGGAGGCAGCAGUGGGGAAUUUUGGACAAUGGGCGCAAGCCUGAUCCAGCCAUGCCGCGUGAGUGAAGAAGGCC